GUUAACGUUUGGGUAAUUGCUGCUGCAUUUUUUUGCAGUAGAGGAAAGUCCAUGCUCGCACGGACUGAGAUGUCCGUAGUGUUCGUGCCUGGCGAAAAAAUAAGCUUGGGCAGCAGUCUUGGAUUGCUGACGGCUGGGAAAAUGCCUAAGUCCUUUUGGAUAUGGCAUGAAUACCUAUAAAAGUGCCACAGUGACGGAGCCUUUACAGAAAUGUAAAGGGUGGAACGAGGUAAACCCCACGAGCGAGAAACCCAAAUUAAUGGUAGGGGCGCUUUCUUCCUUGGAAUUGAACGAGGAGAAGGACAGAAGCUAUGCUUCUGUAGAUAGAUGAUUACCGCCGAAGUACGAGACGUGAGUCGCUUGCAGUACUGAGGAACAAAACAUGGCUUACAGAACGUUACCAUAU
rnacentral:RNase_P_RNA from 1 species